UGCAAGUCGAACGAAAAAUAGCAAUAUUUUUAGUGGCAAACGGGUGAGUAAUGCAUAGGAAUCUGCCUUAUAGUGGGGGACAACAGUUGGAAACGACUGCUAAUACCGCAUACUACCAUUUAUGGGAAAGUCGCAAGACGCUAUUUGAUGAGCCUAUGUCUGAUUAGUUUGUUGGUGGGGUAAUGGCCUACCAAGACUACGAUCAGUAGCCGGUCUGAGAGGACGAUCGGCCACACUGGAACUGAGACACGGUCCAGACUCCUACGGGAGGCAGCAGUGGGGAAUAUUGGACAAUGGACGAAAGUCUGAUCCAGCAACGCCGCGUGGUGGAUGAAGGCCUUAGGGUUGUAAACACCUUUUAUUAGGGAAGAUAAUGACGGUACCUAAUGAAUAAGCAUCGGCUAACUUCGUGCCAGCAGCCGCGGUAAUACGAAGGAUGCUAGCGUUACUCGGAAUUACUGGGCGUAAAGAAUAUGUAGGCUGAUUGUUAAGUUGAUAGUGAAAUCCCCGAGCCUAACUCGGGAACUGCUCUCAAAACUGAUAGUCUAGAAUAUGGUAGAGAGUAAGGGAAUUCUUGGUGUAGGGGUAAAAUCCGUAGAUAUCAGGAGGAAGACCGGAAGCGAAAGCGCUUACUUGGGCCAUUAUUGACGCUGAGAUAUGAAAGCGUGGGGAUCGAACAGGAUUAGAUACCCUGGUAGUC
rnacentral:rRNA from 1 species